rnacentral:rRNA from 1 species
CGGCAAGAGCUCAGAUUUGAAAUCGUGCUUUGCGGCACGAGUUGUAGAUUGCAGGUUGGAGUCUGUGUGGAAGGCGGUGUCCAAGUCCCUUGGAACAGGGCGCCCAGGAGGGUGAGAGCCCCGUGGGAUGCCGGCGGAAGCAGUGAGGCCCUUCUGACGAGUCGAGUUGUUUGGGAAUGCAGCUCCAAGCGGGUGGUAAAUUCCAUCUAAGGCUAAAUACUGGCGAGAGACCGAUAGCGAACAAGUACUGUGAAGGAAAGAUGAAAAGCACUUUGAAAAGAGAGUGAAACAGCACGUGAAAUUGUUGAAAGGGAAGGGUAUUGCGCCCGACAUGGGGAUUGCGCACCGCUGCCUCUCGUGGGCGGCGCUCUGGGCUUUCCCUGGGCCAGCAUCGGUUCUUGCUGCAGGAGAAGGGGUUCUGGAACGUGGCUCUUCGGAGUGUUAUAGCCAGGGCCAGAUGCUGCGUGCGGGGACCGAGGACUGCGGCCGUGUAGGU